UCCGUAGGUGAACCUGCGGAAGGAUCAUUAACGAAACAUCCAACUUCUUGCUAGACUGGGCUUCGGUCUGGUCUAGCAAAAAGCACACAGUGAACUUGUUGAAGUCCCUAACAGUAGGCUUCGUGCCUCACUGUUAUUAAACCCAUUUAUUACCGACGUAAAGUCUGAUUUUUGAAGGUCCAGGCUUCGGCUUGGCUUCAUUGUAUUGUAACCACAAGACAACUUUUAACAACGGAUAUCUUGGUUCUCGCAACGAUGACGAGCGCAGCGAAAUGCGAUACGUAGUGUGAAUUGCAGAAUUCAGUGAAUCAUCGAAACCUUGAACGCAUCUUGCGCUUGCAGGUCCUCCUGCAAGCAUGCCUGUUUGAGCGUCGCUUUAUCAUCAUCCUUGAAAUACUCUUUCCUGGAUGGUAUUGGUUGUCAGGCUUUGCGGUCUGUCAGCUGAAAUCUGUGACAGAGGCCCCACAAUGAGGUCACGAUAGUGCAAUUGACAUGCCUUGUGCAUGAUUCUAGCACUGGACUGUCCUCGCCGGGGGGAUCCUCUGGUAAAGGUCCUCCUUGGGGGACCCCUAAACCCCAUCGGACCUCAAAUCA
rnacentral:rRNA from 1 species